CGGACGGGUGAGUAACGCGUGAGGAACCUGCCUCAGAGUGGGGGAUAACACACCGAAAGGUGUGCUAAUACCGCAUAACAUAUGGGAGGGGCAUCCCUUUCAUAUCAAAGAUUUAUUGCUCUGAGAUGGCCUCGCGUCCAAUUAGCUAGUUGGCGGGGUAACGGCCCACCAAGGCGACGAUUGGUAGCCGGACUGAGAGGUUGAACGGCCACAUUGGGACUGAGACACGGCCCAGACUCCUACGGGAGGCAGCAG
rnacentral:rRNA from 1 species